rnacentral:rRNA from 1 species
AGUGAACGCUGGCGGUAGGCCUAACACAUGCAAGUCGAACGGCAGCACAGUAAGAGCUUGCUCUUACGGUUGGCGAGUGGCGGACGGGUGAGGAGUACAUCGGAAUCUACUUUUUCGUGGGUGAUAACGGAGGGCAACUGACGCUACUACCGCAUAUGAUCUACGGGUGAAAGCAGUGGAGCUUCGCGCCUUGCGCGAUAGAAUGAGCUGAUGCCGCGUCGGAUUGGCUAGUUGGUAAGGUAACGGCAUACCAAGGCAACGAUCCGUAGCCGAUCUGAGAGGGUGAUCAGCCACACUGGAACUGAGACACGGUCCAGACUCCUACGGGAGGCAGCAGUAGGGAAUCUUGCGCAAUGGGCGAAAGCCUGACGCAGCAAUACCGCGUGGGUGAUGAAGGUCUUCGGGUUGUAAAGCCCUGUUGUUGGGAAAGAACAGCAGCGGGUUAAACCACCGCUGUUCUGACGGUACCCAAAGAGAAAGCCCCGGCUAACUUCGUG